CAACAAAAAGUGACCUCACCCAACAUCGCUUAGAGCCCCUUUAAAUAAUCCUGAUUUCAAUAUUGACCAAAAUAAUCGUGGUUAAGGUUUUUAUUCCAGAAUUGAGCAGCACCGUCCCGUCUCAAACACAAAUC